CAGGCGCAGCUUGGGCAGCUCCGAACCUCCGGUCUAUGGUCCCCCUUAUGCAUAUGCAAGCAGAUUGUGAUCCUUACUCUUUAAGAGUCGGGCGGGCCCGCGUCGUUUAGUUGCGCUGAUUCCCAAGUUCUUGUAGCUUGUUGUUUGUGCACUCCGGGAAGACUUCUCGCGGCCCAGAUUUGGCCCUUUCAACCAUGGGCAAAGACCUAGGCCCAGAACGUGGUUCCUUCUGAAUGAUGAAAUGGCUUGCCCCAGGCUUGUUAAAGUUUGGAUGAGUCAGUGUGUUCACUUACUAGCUAAUUAGGCACGUUCCUGGGCGCAUACUAUGCGCAGGCGCAAUGCUAGGGGCUAAGUAGGUAGUAUUAGGCUCCUGACCCCAAUUUUCUCAAUCAAGAGAGUCCUCGUCUGGAGACGGCCAGGUCCCUCUAACUGACAGAACAGCCGAGCAGCCGGAGUCAAAACACUGUUCUGAGAACCGCUACAAGAGUAACUAUUCCCCACAGAUGUUACUAUGUUUACCCCGUGAUGAAGAAAGUUCAGCUCACCAGAGAAAUCACAGUUGGAACCCCGGCAGACUGCUUCAGCCUCCAGUCGCUUUCCGCUGGAUGUUUUGAUGUCUAGCUGGAUCUACUGUUUUGUUUUCUUUCUUUUCCUUUUGCUAUAUUCUAACGUAUAUCCGAAAGCAUGGUUAUGGAAGGCCUUCGUCAGACCACCCUGGGCACAAUGAAAGACUAAAUUCCA